UGCUGCAUUUCACCAUGACAGCCGCUCGCUCUGUCUUAUUGUACUUGUGGGUAAUAGUGACCUUGCUUAUGCUAAGCAGCCACUUUCUUGCAGCCCGCCGCACCCUCCUGGCUUGCAGGGGCUCAUGGCUCGACCGUUCUGAUCCUACACCCGGACCCGCAUGUGAGCAACCCCAUCCUCCAGUCAAUCCUCCUCAACAGUAGCAUGUCCUAAGCGCCACCAGCAGGGCUACCUGCUCGUUUAAGCUUCCAAGAAGCGACCAUUAUUAUACACCUCAAUUAUUAUUACUCUCCGAGCUGAUCUGCUGAUCAGGUUCUGCUCCUG